rnacentral:misc_RNA from 1 species
GAUGAAGAACGUAGCGAAAUGCGAUAAGUAAUGUGAAUUGCAGAAUUCAGUGAAUCAUCGAAUCUUUGAACGCCCAUUGCGCCCGCCGGUAUUCCGGCGGGCAUGCCUGUCCGAGCGUCAUUUCACCACUCAAGCCCAGCUUGGUGUUGGGGCACCCGGCCGCCUGGCGGUCGGGGCCCCCAAGUACAUCGGCGGUCCCGCUGGGGGCUCCGAGCGCAGUAGCUCGCGGUAAAACGCGCCCCUCGCUCGGAGGCUCCUUCGGGCUUCCAGCCGCUAAACCCGUCCACCGACGCCCUUCGAGUUGACCUCGGAUCAGGUAGGAAUACCCGCUGAACUUAAGCAUAUCAAUAAGCGGAGGA